GGAAAAUUUCAUCUUUACAAGCCUGAGCACUGUUUUUCCUAUCUCAGCUCCUGAGAAAACAAUCCAGACCCUCAAAUUUUCUAAUAGAUGAGGGAAUUGAACCACAGAGAAGGAAGAUGGAACUCAUUAUAGGAAUUUCUGCUUGGAAUUACAUGAACCUAUUUGAAGGAAUAACUUUUUCCAGUGUAUACACGUUCUAAGGCUCAGAAGCAACUGAAUUCUCCCCGUUUGCCUUGAAGAAUGCCGAACUGUGACCUCCAGAACCAUGAGGAAGAGGCUUUGACUAUCUUGGGGCUUCUUCCCCUACCCACACCUGUAAUUUCACUACUCCAAGUUCCACUUCCUUACCAUGGAGCAUGGUAAAGGAUAAAUAAACCCUUUAUAAAUAUUGGCA